rnacentral:tRNA from 1 species
ACAGUGGUAGUUCAGUGGUAAAAUGCUUGCCUUUCAUGUGGGACAUCUGGGUUUGAUUCCUGGCCAGUGCA